rnacentral:lncRNA from 1 species
CACUGCUCCAAUGGUCAUCAGCAUGAGCAUGUAUCUGCAGGCAAGCAUUCUUGCCAUGAUCAUCACCAUGAGCAUGAUCACCACAAAGAGCCUAGCAACCUGCAUUCCACAGACAAGCAUGGCUGCCAUGAUCAUCACCAUGAGCAUGAUCACCAUAAAGAGCCGAGCAACCUGCAUUCCACAGACAAGCAUGGCUGCCAUGAUCAUGGCCAUGGCCAUAGCCACUGCAAAGAGCCGAGCAGCCAGAUGGUGACAAGCAAGCAUGUUUCCCAUGGGCAUGGCCAUACCCACAACAUCUGCAACCCUCACCCCACUGCGAACAAGCAUGAUUGCCAUGACCAUGAACAUAGCCACCACCAAGAACCCAACAGUUCACAUUCUGCCGAUGAGCAUGAUUGCCAUGAUCACAAGCACUGUGAAGAACCAAUCAGCUUGCUUUGUGCCACUGAGCAUGCUUGCCACGACCAUGAGCAG